rnacentral:lncRNA from 1 species
AUUUAUCUAUGUGGCAAAUAUUUAAUAGAUUUGUAGGUCCACAUACGUGCCACAUAAGCAUACUAACCGAAAUUUUAACGGAAUUCUAACAAAAUAACUACAUUGAUCUGUGACACCUAUAUUUAAAGACUACAUUGAUUAAUUUUUAUUUUCAAGAACCAUCUUGAUAGUAUGAAUCAAUUUUAAAAACUACUUGUGAUAAAAACCAAUUAGCAUAUGUAGGUUACUGCAAACUUGCAAGUGGGAAAAAAAAUACAAAUAGCAGAAAAUUAGGAAAAGUGUAAUUGCCUUCAUUCUCUUUUGCAUGUUUUCGCUUUCACAAUUUUACCCUUUAUAACCGAUCAUUGUCUUUGUUCUUUCGGCAGAGGGCAAUUUUAGAGAUACUAGGCCAUCUCCAUCGAAUGAGAGUCAGAUGGCUCUCUUUAGACUUAUAGCUUUCUAAAAAAUUAAUAUUUUAAUGAACAAUGUCCGGCCAUAUUUCUUACCAUCUCCAACCGAGGGGCCAAAGGACCAUAGGACAAACAUAACCAUGUGACAAAAAAUCAUCUCCAACCGAGGGGCCAAAGCAUCAUAGGCCAAACAUAAUUUAUUAUUUCAAUUUAAAGACUGCUACAACUUAAAUUUAAAAACUACUACAACUUAAAUUUAAAAACUACAAUUUAAAUUAAAAACUAAAACAACUUAAAUUUAAAGUCUAUAAUCAUCAUCAUCAUCAUCAUCAUCCGCCAUUUUAGGAUUAUAGUCAGAUGUAAACAACUCCCGUCGAUCCAUAAUUUCCCUCUUUUUCAUGUCAAAAUAUGCCUUACUCAUUAGAGUGUAAUC